rnacentral:tRNA from 1 species
GAGCCUGUAGCGCAGCCUGGAUUAGCGCAACAGCCUCCUAAGCUGUGGGUCCCGGGUUCG